GCCGGUUAGUCUCGUUGACAUAGCGAUCGAUCGCGUAGGGAAUUUUCUCGGGCGCAUAGGCGCUGAAAUGAUGGUUCUGUCCGGCCAUCGGACCGAGGCCGCCCAUCUGCCACAUCAGCCAUUGCAGCACAUCGAAGCGCUUGCGCAGAUCGGACGGCAUGAACUUGCCGGUCUUCUCCGCGAGAUAGAUCAGGAUCGCGCCGGAUUCGAAGAUCUUCACCGGCGCGCC
rnacentral:misc_RNA from 1 species